rnacentral:rRNA from 1 species
UACGAAGGGGCUAGCGUUGUUCGGAAUCACUGGCGUAAAGGGCGCGUAGGCGGCUUUAUAAGUCGGGGGUGAAAGCCUGUGGCUCAACCACAGAAUUGCCUUCGAUACUGUAGAGCUUGAGACCGGAAGAGGUUAGUGGAACUGCGAGUGUAGAGGUGAAAUUCGUAGAUAUUCGCAAGAACACCAGUGGCGAAGGCGGCUGACUGGUCCGGUUCUGACGCUGAGGCGCGAAGCGUGGGAGCAAACAGG